UACGUAGGGCGCGAGCGUUGUCCGGAUUUAUUGGGCGUAAAGAGCUCGUAGGCGGCUUGUCGCGUCGAAUGUGAAAUCUCAGGGCUCAACUCUGACAUUGCAUUCGAUACGGGCAGGCUAGAGUUCGGUAGGGGAGACUGGAAUUCCUGGUGUAGCGGUGAAAUGCGCAGAUAUCAGGAGGAACACCGGUGGUGAAGGCGGGUCUCUGGGCCGAUACUGACGCUGAGGAGCGAAAGCGUGGGGAGCGAACAGG
rnacentral:rRNA from 1 species